rnacentral:rRNA from 2 species
UGGCUCAGGACGAACGCUGGCGGCGUGCUUAACACAUGCAAGUCGAACGGUGAUGCAGAGCUUGCUCUGCGGAUCAGUGGCGAACGGGUGAGUAACACGUGAGUAACCUGCCCUUGACUCUGGGAUAAGCGUUGGAAACGACGUCUAAUACCGGAUACGACCCGUGGAGGCAUCUCCUGCGGGUGGAAAGAAUUUUGGUUGAGGAUGGACUCGCGGCCUAUCAGCUUGUUGGUGAGGUAAUGGCUCACCAAGGCGACGACGGGUAGCCGGCCUGAGAGGGUGACCGGCCACACUGGGACUGAGACACGGCCCAGACUCCUACGGGAGGCAGCAGUGGGGAAUAUUGCACAAUGGGCGAAAGCCUGAUGCAGCAACGCCGCGUGAGGGAUGACGGCCUUCGGGUUGUAAACCUCUUUUGGCAGGGAAGAAGCGAAAGUGACGGUACCUGCAGAAAAAGCACCGGCUAACUACGUGCCAGCAGCCGCGGUAAUACGUAGGGUGCAAGCGUUGUCCGGAAUUAUUGGGCGUAAAGAGCUCGUAGGCGGUUUGUCGCGUCUGCUGUGAAAACGCGAGGCUCAACCUCGCGCCUGCAGUGGGUACGGGCAGACUAGAGUGCGGUAGGGGAGAUUGGAAUUCCUGGUGUAGCGGUGGAAUGCGCAGAUAUCAGGAGGAACACCGAUGGCGAAGGCAGAUCUCUGGGCCGUUACUGACGCUGAGGAGCGAAAGCGUGGGGAGCGAACAGGAUUAGAUACCCUGGUAGUCCACGCCGUAAACGUUGGGAACUAGAUGUGGGGUCCAUUCCACGGAUUCCGUGUCGCAGCUAACGCAUUAAGUUCCCCGCCUGGGGAGUACGGCCGCAAGGCUAAAACUCAAAGGAAUUGACGGGGGCCCGCACAAGCGGCGGAGCAUGCGGAUUAAUUCGAUGCAACGCGAAGAACCUUACCAAGGCUUGACAUGCACCUGAAAAGGCUGGAAACAGUCUCCUCGCAAGACAGGUGCACAGGUGGUGCAUGGUUGUCGUCAGCUCGUGUCGUGAGAUGUUGGGUUAAGUCCCGCAACGAGCGCAACCCUCGUUCUAUGUUGCCAGCGCGUUAUGGCGGGAACUCAUAGGAGACUGCCGGGGUCAACUCGGAGGAAGGUGGGGAUGACGUCAAAUCAUCAUGCCCCUUAUGUCUUGGGCUUCACGCAUGCUACAAUGGCCGGUACAAAGGGCUGCAAUACCGUAAGGUGGAGCGAAUCCCAAAAAGCCGGUCUCAGUUCGGAUUGAGGUCUGCAACUCGACCUCAUGAAGUCGGAGUCGCUAGUAAUCGCAGAUCAGCAACGCUGCGGUGAAUACGUUCCCGGGCCUUGUACACACCGCCCGUCAAGUCAUGAAAGUCGGUAACACCCGAAGCCGGUGGCCCAACCCUUGUGGAGGGAGCCGUCGAAGGUGGGAUCGGUAAUUAGGACUAAGUCGUAA